GAUGAACGCUGGCGGCGUGCCUAAUACAUGCGAGUCGAGCGAACAGACGAGGAGCUUGCUCCUCUGACGUUAGCGGCGGACGGGUGAGUAACACGUGGAUAACCUACCUAUAAGACUGGGAUAACUUCGGGAAACCGGAGCUAAUACCGGAUAAUAUAUUGAACCGCAUGGUUCAAUAGUGAAAGACGGUUUUGCCGUCACUUAUAGAUGGAUCCGCGCCGCAUUAGCUAGUUGGUAAGGUAACGGCUUACCAAGGCGACGAUGCGUAGCCGACCUGAGAGGGUGAUCGGCCACACUGGAACUGAGACACGGUCCAGACUCCUACGGGAGGCAGCAGUAGGGAAUCUUCCGCAAUGGGCGAAAGCCUGACGGAGCAACGCCGCGUGAGUGAUGAAGGUCUUCGGAUCGUAAAACGCUGUUAUUAGGGAAGAACAAAUGUGUAAGUAACGAUGCACGUCUGGACGGUACCUAAGCAGAAAGCCACGGCUAACUACGG
rnacentral:rRNA from 1 species